rnacentral:rRNA from 1 species
UACGUAGGGGGCAAGCGUUGUCCGGAAUUAUUGGGCGUAAAGAGCGCGUAGGCGGUCCGAUAAGUCGGCUGUGAAAGUCAAGGGCUCAACCCUUGAAAGCCGGCCGAUACUGUCGGGCUAGAGUCCGGAAGAGGCGAGUGGAAUUCCUGGUGUAGCGGUGAAAUGCGCAGAUAUCAGGAGGAACACCAAUGGCGAAGGCAGCUCGCUGGGACGGUACUGACGCUGAGACGCGAAAGCGUGGGGAGCAAACAGG